UUUCUGGAAUUUUUGGAAAUUUUUCGGGAAUUUUUCGGAGCUCGUAUGGACGAGUUAACGGGGAUAAAAAUGGGGCCCAGAAAAGCAUGUUUAGACUACCCUAUUUUUAAGAGGAAAAGUUUUAUUUCUCCUUUUCUUUUAUUCCUUUUCUUUUCCUCUUAUUCCCGUGCCCUAACCAUGCGACGUCGUCUCCUCCUUUGCUUAACCGGCGCCACAAGCGACAGUUCCUUCUUCCUCUUCUUCUCCGAUCGAACGUCGGCCAAGUUUCUGUUUUCCCCGUCUCUUCCUCUCUUCCGGCCGAGCAGCACCGAUUUUCUUUUUCUCUCGCGCCACCGCGGCGUGGAAGUGCCACCGGUCGUUGCCCUAAGCCCUAGAUCUGUCUUCUUUUUCCCAAUUAGCGUUGCUUCGCGUUUUCUCUCCCACGCAAACAAGCCUCGGCCAAGGAAGCCCUACCGCCAGCAACGAUCUUCGAUGUGUCUCACCACCUGCCGAGCCCUUUUUCCUUCUCCCUUACUGUGGUCGCGCCACUUCCGCCAGCCAUCCACGCGGGAUUUGUCGGCAACGCAGUGACGCCGACAGAGGAUGAUUCUUUCCCGACUGUCUCAGCCUCACCGCGCCGCCUGAGGACCUCAUCGGAGUCUUGAAGGUGCUGACCAAUCGCUUCCUCGUCCCCAUCCACCUCCGGCGAUGAGGUCAGUGCGGGCGCCAUUCUCAUCGGGUGUUGAUGUCCCUCUGCCCUUGUGUCGGCUGUCAUCUUCUUAUUGUGCCCUAGCGCCGCUGUCGACGCCAACAGCCACCACCAGACGCUUCUGGUUCUUCACUGUCGGCCGAGGGUUGUUGCUCUCCUUUGUGACGACCACCGGACUUGGAGUUUGUUCAGCCACUGGAUUUCCGACGUUAUCCGAUUUCAGCCACGUCCGGCACUGACUCGACAGUUCGGGCAUUUAUGUUUGGGGCUUUUGGAAUUUGCGGUGGCGAUUUUGCUUCGGCUAAGGACCUCAAGGAAGAGGUUUCUAAGGAUAUUGAUUUGGGAUGAGCACUUUGACGCAGAGGUUGUCUAGCUCGAUCUACAUUUGAGGCGGGUACCUCUUGACUUAU